ACAGAAGGCUGUGUGUACCUGUAGGCCCAGUUACUCAGAAGGCUGAUGCGGGAGGAUCGCUUGAGUCCAGGCAUUCUGGGCUGGAAUGUGCUAUGCAGAUUCGGUGUCUGUACUAAGUUCAGUACCAAUGAAUUCCUGGGAGCAGGGGUCACCCAGUCACCCAGGUUAAGGAGGGGUGCACUGGCCCAGGUUGGAAGCAGAACAGGUCAAACUCCUGUGCUGAUCAAUAGUGGGAUUGUGCCUGUGAAUAACCGCUAUAACCACCGUCCCCCAGACUGCACAACACAGUGAAAAUU
rnacentral:SRP_RNA from 1 species